rnacentral:tRNA from 1 species
UCCCUGGUGGUCCAGUGGUCAGGAGUCUGUGCUUCCACUGCAGGAGACACAGGUUCAAUCCCUGUUCAGGGAU